rnacentral:misc_RNA from 1 species
GAAACCCUAGAGAGAGAAAGAGAGAAGCGAUAAAAGGUAAGACCGUAGAUGCGGAGAGAAGAAGGAGAAGAGAACGCAUGACGUGGCAAGGAUAAGACACGACACGUGUAAUGGCGAUUGAAAGAAAAAGGCGCUUCAUAAGAGAAUAUAGAAUGCGCUGGGGGUGCGUAGGGUAAAGGGGAUGAAUGGAGUAGAGGACAAGAGGGGAUAACUUUCGCUUUCGCAGAAACCGAAA